UUGUCUUACCUAGAAACCCCGAGAAACCAUUAAUGAAGGAAGCAGACGCAGAAGCAGAAGUGAUUCUGGUGACAAAUGCUUUAUAACCAAGUGGAUACAGAGUCUACAAGAUUGUUUUGGACUAUUUGUAACCGUAGGAAAACCCUGCUGCUGUGGAAUACAAAGUCAUCUCGCAAGCCUGGUUGUCCUUUGUCUAAGCUGCUGUGGUGUGGCAAGCUACAUUCACCCUAGCUGUCCAUCUACUAAGGAUUCUCGAUGCCAGCUUCGGCGGGUCCGACCAUGCCAGGCGCACACUUGAUGCCGAUGCUGACAUCACCUGGGGCGAGGGGCACAAGCGGCCAGACGUCACUCCCUCGUUGCCGUGAAGACCAAGGAGGAGGAAAAAGUGGUGCCUCACCUUGUCCUGCCUUGCCGCAGU